AGGCUCGUGGCCUAGACUGGAUAGGGCGGUAGCCUCCUAAGCUAAUGGUCGAGGGUUCAAAUCCCUCCGGGCCUG
rnacentral:tRNA from 1 species